rnacentral:ncRNA from 2 species
UGAAGUUUUCUUUCAGAGUUUUAAAAUUUGAUCAUAGUUUAGGAUGGUUUAAAAUGGUAUUAUCUAAAUUUGAUUUACUUAGUGGGCAAUGAAUAUUUACCCCGGCAAUUUAUCGCUUGUAUAAUACUAGUUCCAGAAUAAUCGGCUACACUUGUUAAAGCUUGUACUCUAAUUGAUGUUAACUAUGAGAUUUUUAUUUGUGACUUUAAUAAUCUUAGGUGAAAUUAGGAUUAUUGGUUAGUGUAUUUUCAUAGUUUUAAGUUUUGACGAACGAAUUAGAUUAGUACUUAAUUAGACAAAAAUUAAAAGAGCAGGAGUAAAGUUGUAUUUAAACUGUAAGGAUAUUGGCAGGCUUUCUAAAUUAUCUUUGGAGGUUGAGUAAUAAUUGAGAACCCUCAUUAACUACUUAGUCUGUUGAUUCAUGUAUGAUCGUUUAGUAUAUUCUUGAAGAUUAUAGUUAAAGAUAUUGUUAUCUAUAAAAACAGAUAUAUACCUGGUAUAUGAUUUAAGUGAUAUUUGACCUACAAUAUUGUAUAAUGUGGAUAUUUAAGUUAGUACUUAAAUUGAAAAUGUAAAAGACAGUAAAGAAUUCUUUAUGUAUUCUUGAAGAUUAUCUAGAAGCGGUACAAAUCAUCCAUCAAUUGCCUAUAGGGGAGUAAGUUGUAGUAAAGUAGAUUUAGGGGAACCUUAAUCUAGUAAUA